UACGUAGGGUGCGAGCGUUAAUCGGAAUUACUGGGCGUAAAGCGUGCGCAGGCGGUUUUGUAAGCCAGAUGUGAAAUCCCCGGGCUCAACCUGGGAAUGGCAUUUGGGACUGCAAGGCUGGAGUGCGGCAGAGGAGACUGGAAUUCCUGGUGUAGCAGUGAAAUGCGUAGAUAUCAGGAGGAACACCGAUGGCGAAGGCAGCUCGCUGGGACGGUACUGACGCUGAGGCGCGAAAGCGUGGGGAGCGAACAGG
rnacentral:rRNA from 1 species